GACAGAGGAUGCAAGCGUUGUCCGGAAUUAUUGGGCGUAAAGAGCUCGUAGGCGGUCUGUCGCGUCUGCUGUGAAAACCUAGGGCUUAACUCUGGGCGUGCAGUGGGUACGGGCAGGCUAGAGUGCGGUAGGGGAGACUGGAAUUCCUGGUGUAGCGGUGAAAUGCGCAGAUAUCAGGAGGAACACCGGUGGCGAAGGCGGGUCUCUGGGCCGUAACUGACGCUGAGGAGCGAAAGCAUGGGGAGCGAACAGG
rnacentral:rRNA from 1 species